UACGAAGGGGGCUAGCGUUGCUCGGAAUCACUGGGCGUAAAGGGUGCGUAGGCGGGUGUUUAAGCCAGAGGUGAAAUCCUGGAGCUCAACUCCAGAACUGCCUUUGAUACUGAAGAUCUUGAGUUCGGGAGAGGUGAGUGGAACUGCGAGUGUAGAGGUGAAAUUCGUAGAUAUUCGCAAGAACACCAGUGGCGAAGGCGGCUCACUGGCCCGGUACUGACGCUGAGGUGCGAAAGCGUGGGGAGCAAACAGG
rnacentral:rRNA from 1 species